rnacentral:rRNA from 1 species
GACGAACGCUGGCGGCGUGCUUAACACAUGCAAGUCGAACGGAAAGGCCCUGCUUUUGUGGGGUGCUCGAGUGGCGAACGGGUGAGUAACACGUGAGUAACCUGCCCUUGACUUUGGGAUAACUUCAGGAAACUGGGGCUAAUACCGGAUAGGAGCUCCUGCUGCAUGGUGGGGGUUGGAAAGUUUCGGCGGUUGGGGAUGGACUCGCGGCUUAUCAGCUUGUUGGUGGGGUAGUGGCUUACCAAGGCUUUGACGGGUAGCCGGCCUGAGAGGGUGACCGGCGACAUUGGGACUGAGAGAGGGCCCAGACUGCUACGGGGGGCAGCAGUGGGGAAUAUUGCACAAUGGGCGGAAGCCUGAUGCAGCAACGCCGCGUGCGGGAUGACGGCCUUCGGGUUGUAAACCGCUUUCGCCUGUGACGAAGCGUGAGUGACGGUAAUGGGUAAAGAAGCACCGGCUAACUACGUG